rnacentral:rRNA from 1 species
GAUGAACGCUGGCGGCGUGCCUAAUACAUGCCAGUUGAGCGAUCAAGCUUGGUGCUUGCACCUCUUUCAUUAGCAGCGAACGGGUGAGUAACACGUGGGGAAUCUACCUUUGAGCGUGGGACAACUUCUGGAAACCAAUGCUAAUACCGGAUAACAACUUUAACCAUAUGUUUUAAUUUUGAAAGAUGCAUUUGCUUUACUUUAUAAUUAUCCCCCGUUGUAUUAGCUUGUUGGUAAGGUAAAGGCCUACCAAGGCAAGAUUGCGUAGCCGACCUGAGAGGGUGAUCGGCAAAAUUGGAACGGAGAAACGGUCAAGACUCCAAGGGGAGGCAGAGGAGGGGAAUCUCGGGAAAGGGGGGAAAGCCGGACGGAGAAACGCCGGGUGGGGGAUGAAGGUCUUGGGAUCGAAAAACUCGGUUGUAAGGGAGGAAGAAAGGGGGAAGGAAAUACGCACGUAGUGACGGUAACUAACCAGAAAGCGACGGCUAACUACGUG